rnacentral:rRNA from 1 species
AUUGAACGCUGGCGGCAUGCCUUACACAUGCAAGUCGAACGGCAGCACGGGUGCUUGCACCUGGUGGCGAGUGGCGAACGGGUGAGUAAUACAUCGGAACAUGUCCUGUAGUGGGGGAUAGCCCGGCGAAAGCCGGAUUAAUACCGCAUACGAUCCACGGAUGAAAGCGGGGGACCUUCGGGCCUCGCGCUAUAGGGUUGGCUGAUGGCUGAUUAGCUAGUUGGUGGGGUAAAGGCCUACCAAGGCGACGAUCAGUAGCUGGUCUGAGAGGACGACCAGCCACACUGGGACUGAGACACGGCCCAGACUCCUACGGGAGGCAGCAGUGGGGAAUUUUGGACAAUGGGCGAAAGCCUGAUCCAGCAAUGCCGCGUGUGUGAAGAAGGCCUUCGGGUUGUAAAGCACUUUUGUCCGGAAAGAAAUCCUUGACUCUAAUACAGUCGGGGGAUGACGGUACCGGAAGAAUAAGCACCGGCUAACUACGUG